rnacentral:lncRNA from 1 species
AAGAAAAACACAAACAAGAAGAAGAAUAAGAUUUUUUAAUUAUUCUCCUUUGUUUAAUUGGUUUAUACCUGACGAGUAUUUCUGUGAAAGUCUUCUUUCCAACACCUCUUCCCCUCGUGCAGAAAUAUUGACUCUAUUUAGAAAUAGUUUGAGAGAGAGAGAUAUCAGAGGAGAGAGAGAGAGAGAGAGAGAGAGAGAGAGAGAGAGAGAGAGAACCAGGGCCAGGGGGGAAGAAAAUGAU